rnacentral:sRNA from 1 species
ACCUCACAAAUUCAAAGUCCUCUUCAAUUAUUGUACUCAUUGGAUCUGGGUCA